UCGUUGUACCGAAUGUGGCGUGAGCGUUGUGCAUACCGGCGUAUUCGCAAUGCCGCCCUAAACGUACAAAGAUUG